AUGGAUCCCGUCACCCUCCAGCUUGGGCACAAGACACCAGGCCUCAGUUUCCCCCUCUUGAUGACCCCAGUGAUGUUCCCGCCUUGGGUAGCUGAGGGGGAGGUGCUCCCUGCCUCCACGGCUGAAGGCGGCCCCAACACGGUUUGGGCUGGCGCCUUCCGCCCCAUCACGGAUUCCAGCCAGAGCCCCCUGGGUGGGGUCGGGGGGACAGGAGCCACAGGGACAGGGCUCAGGUUGUCCCGGCAGCCAAAGUUGGGGUGUGGGGCACAGAACACCCUGGAGAGGCGGGGGGCCUGGGCGCCUCUUCUUCACCAGCCCGUCCGUGCUGCCCACAGUGGGUCCCCACACUUCACAGUCUGUCCUGGAAGCUGUCGCCUGCUGGCUGCUCCCAGACAGCUGGCUUCCUCUCCUCUUACCUCCCCCAGCCUGCAGCCACCCUCCCUCCGCCGGCCUCACGCAUCUGCCGCAUCUUCCCCCCUCCCCGCCUUUGCCCUGCCAUCCCGCCCCCCCCUCCAUUUCCAAUCUGGAAUGAUGCUCCAGCCUCUGGCCUGCAGGGUGACCCGGACGACCCAUCCUCCCGGGCCCUGCAGGUCCCCAAGUCCUCGCCAGGGACUGGUGUUGCCAGUGAAGCACGGCUGCAUCGGCCCCCUCCUGCCCCACUCCCUGCCCGCACCCCACUCCUCCCCUGGGGCUCAUUCACCUUUCCCCGCCCUCAGUUCUCUCUGUGCUAAGAGCACCCACUUUGAAGUUACACAGGCUUGGGUUGCCACCCCGGCUGUGCCGCCUCAUGGCGCCGGGCCUCAGUUCUCCCAUCUGCAGAACGGGGAGAAUGCCGGCAAGGCCCGCCUUGGGCUGUCGCAAGGGUUAAGUGAAGAGUGUUUUCACGUCCUCGGAAACGCUGUGCGUUACCCAGCCCGGCCUGUCGUCACCCCGAGCCUGCGGUGGCUCUCCUCACUGCUGCCCUCUGCACCAAGCUGUUCACGACCCGAAUCACUUCAUCUUCACUCGGGAACACUCACUGGCUCCCCAGUACCUCUCCUGGGACUUAAAACUCCGGCUCGUUUUCAGAGCUCUCCGUCACUUGUCUUUCUGGAUUCCCUGGUGCGGCUGCCCUGA
rnacentral:lncRNA from 1 species